AAUACAGUUGUCCCCAGAAAAAGUAAAUUAUAACAAAUGACUAUUUAACAAGCAGAUUGUAGAGUUUGUCCUCUGGUUCUAAAUUUUAUUUAGUAGACAAAUAUAUACUUUUGGUGCCAGGCCCUUUCAAGGCUUGGGCUUGAUGCAUAGCAACAGCCACACUGCCCAAUACUUUGAAUAUCUCUUGCACACAAGAAUAAAGGCGCUUAGGUUAGUUCAUGAGUUUGUUAAACACCCAUCUCCCUGGUGGGUUUAUAUGCCCCCUCCCAGUGUUGGAAAAUAUGAAAGCAG